rnacentral:rRNA from 1 species
CGGAAUCAAAUGACUCUCGGCAAUGGAUAUCUCGGCUCUUGCAUCGAUGAAGAACGUAGUGAAAUGCGAUACUUGGUGUGAAUUGCAGAAUCUCGUGAACCAUUGAGUCUUUGAACGCAAGUUGUGCCCGGAGCCUUGUGGCCGAGGGCACGCCUGCUUGGGCGUCAUGG